AUUGAUCUUUGUUUUGUUCUUAUUCUGUUCAUUAAGCAACAUUUCUGCUUUUGUUUCUUCUGCAAGUCUCGAGCCUUGUUGCUCAAGUCACAUUGGCAGCUUGCUUUGAUUCUUAAACACCAACAUGUUUAGAUUAUGUACCUAGAAGAAACCCUAGUCUUUGCAAGCCAAAUGGAAUUUUUUCUGUUCAUCAUCAGGAUCUAGUUUGCUCAUAUCAAUUACAGGAAUCUGCAGGGAUUCGUCUAUGGAAACUACAUUGAAUUCGACCUAUGGUCUGAUGCAUCUGGAUGGGAUGUUGUUGAGGUUCUUGGAUGCAAGAGCUUGGACAUUCUCAACUGGUAAAGAACCAAACAUAUCUGUGCUCACCACUUUUGUUUCCAUUGCCGUAAAGCUUUCUCAAGUUAAACAGUACGCUCAAAUUAUCAUGUUAAUGCAUGAAUUAUUGAAAGGAUAUAACACCACUAAAUCAUUUUUGUCCUUUGCAUGAAUUAUUGAAAAAUAUGUCCUUUUUUAAUUAUUAUUUUCGAAGCUUUUUGACGCCUUCACUUUGGGAUCAAAUAUUUGGAAAUCUGAAACGAUCCUGCACUAAUGGCGACAGGCUAUAAACACUGAGAAAUUAAAAUUGCACACCAUUUGUUUAAUCAGAACUAUUUAAUGCAAUCAUUUUUACAUCAACUGUUUCUUUGUAGUUCCUUGAAGACCCUACUUUGUCAUUUUUCUCGAAGAAAUCCCACCAUUCUGUUACGAGCUAAUCUAAAAUUACUUAGUAAUCAGAAUAACAUAAAGAAAACAAUGAAAAAGAAAAAGAAAAAGAAGAUGAAGAGAUUUUAGAGAAGAUAAAAAAAGAAAAAAUAAAAGAGAAUGUGUUUAAAGCAAUGUUAGAAUGAAAUACAAUUUUUCUAUUCUUUUUGUUGAAGAUUUGCUUGGGUUAUCAUAAUCUACCUAUUUUUAGAUAUAAAUCAUAACUUUUUGAUUUGUUUCAUAUUUUUUAUAAAUUUUUUUUUAGAGAUUAUGAUUAUGUUAGUAGCCUAUUUUUAGUAAGUAGUGUUAAACUGUUUACUAUAUAAACACCUGGUUUCAGUUCAAUAAAAAUGUAUCUUUUCCAUUUUAAUUACUUUACUUCUAGUUCAGUUUUCUUUAAUGAUAAAAUACCAACACUUUUAAUAGGAACGAAAUAUGAUUUAUUAGCUAGAAUAUGAUUUUUUAUAAUUUAUAAUUUAAUAAAGAUUCUUUCGUUAAUACCAGAUACAUAUACUUUUUUGCAGCAACAAAUUCUUUCUAAUUUCUCUAACAAUUUCGGUAAAUACAUUUAUAUUUCCCUGUCUUAACAAUUGAUUUUGCAAAUGAACUGAAGAAAACUUCUUCAUUAGAUGCAAAAGCCCAAACCAACUUUAUUAUCUCCCCUUCAUGGUCUAACACCAUUAACAGAUCAUAAAAAUCCAUUUCCUUCAAAAGUGUUAAUGUUAGCUUAGAUUUUAAGAGUAUGGGUCAAACGCUAUUUAGGAGUUUCAUGCAGUUGGAAACAUGUCAAAUAAGCUCAAUCGAUUUUAAAUAUAGUUUUCACAAAUUGUUGCAUUUCCAGAUGCAAUAAUCCUGUUAUUUCAAACAUUGAAAACAAGUCGCAAAAGAAGAGAUUUAACAUUGGACGAAGAGCUGAUAAAGUCAAUAAGAUUUUGAACUAGAGCUUCAUUUGAUUCAACAUAUGUUUCCCUUGAACUUUCCUGCUAAGCCUCAGUCUCAGAAACUCCUCAAGUGACAUAGUCUUGUACUGUGCUUUGUUUUUCCGAACAAAAUCUGCCAAUGGUCCAAUCUCGAUACCUACUUUCGGACUCUGAAAUGCUGCCAUUGACAUCCGUUCUUUCUCCUGAUUCACCACAACUCCAUGUUCUAUGCUUUUAUAUUCUCCAUUGCUCAUAAUCUGCAUUCAUAGCAUCUCUUCACUUCGAGGCACAUUACAUAUACAGUCCAUGAAGUCUAAAGUCUGUAUGUAGCUACAAAUAUUUUCAUGUUACCUCUAUUAUGUCUCCAAUGUUGACGAUCAAUGCGCCAGGGAUGGGUUUAACAGGCAACCAUUUCUCAUCUUUCUUGAUUUGUAAGCCUUCAACUUCAUUCACUUGAAGCAAUAGUGUUAAGCCUGUGGCGUCAGAGUGUGGAGAUGCACCAAAAACCUUGCUUGCCUCUGCACAUGGUGGAUAAUAGUUCAUUCUUAUAGAUUGUGCUCCAUCCUCGAAAAAGCUUGAAAGCAUCUUAGGAUCAGUCCCCAAGUUCUUGGCAAAUGAGAUAAAUCGUAACCUUAUGCAACUCCGUCGAGUACUUGUCGAAAGUUUCUCUGAAAACAACUCAAGUUACAGACAUCCUAAUACGGUCAUGAAGUUGAAGGAUCAUUAUUGUCUAUUGAUUUACCUGAAGGAAGGGGGAUUGAUCGGCCAGAAUCUCAUAUUCCUUAACGGCACAGGCAGGGGAAAAAGAAAGAGCAUGUCAUUCCAAUCUAGCUUUUGAUCUGCCGACCUUACCAGGGUUUGACCGUAACCUUCAAUCUCAUUUGGUAGCUGUGCAUAAGCCAUCUUCUCCUCCAAUGGCAACUUAAAGAACUCUUGAGUGUCAAUCUUCAUUUUCUCAAUCAGUUCAUCUGCUAUCCCAUGAUUGAUUAACUGUUUCAACGUCAGUAAAGAUGAACUACUAAGUCCAUUGAUGUAAAAAAAAAAAGUUAUGGUUCUUUAAGAAUUCUGUUUAAAUUAGGUACCUGGAAGAAACCCCAGUCUUUGCAAGCCUGAUGGAGUUUUUUCUGUCCAUCAUCAUGAUCUAGUUUGCUCAUGUCAAUUACAGGAAUCUGCUGGGAUUCAUCUAUGGAAACUACAAAUUCGACCUCAGGUCUGAUAUAUCUGGAUGGGAUGUUCUUCAGGUUCUUGGAUGCAAGUGCUUGGACACUAUCAACAGGUAAAGAACCAGCAAAUCCUCUGCUCACCA
rnacentral:lncRNA from 1 species